CUGCUGCGCGCGCCCUGCGCCCUCUGCCCCCCGCGCCACCCCGCUUUGCCUUCUCCCCUCCAUUUCUCUUUCUCGGGGGCUUUCCAUGCUCGCCUGGGAGAGUAGAGGGGAGCCAACGCUUUUAAGGGGGUUGGAGGUUGGGAGGCGAGAAGAGUCGUUAGUAUCAAGGUGAUGGGGUUCGGGGAGCCAGUUCCAAAGCGGGGGCCGUGGAGCCCCCAGGCUUCCCUCCGGGAAGUGGCUGCGUGGGCCGUGCGUGAGUACCCCGGGGACGGGGAAGCAGUGUGUCAACCCGAGUGAACUUUAAUCCGCCGCGGCUGUGUCUGCUCGUACACUUGCCCACACACCUGCCUGCUUACCUGCUGCUUCCAAGCCCGCCUCCACCAGCGUCGGGAGCAUGGAGACCCAGGCUCCUCGGAGCGGGUGGCGGGUGCCGGACCGUGUGGCCGGAACUUGCCUGUUUCCCUUCCGUACCCCCCACCCCACCCCUUCCUACCCUCAGCCGCAGAGACGGACAGAUUUUCACCAUCAGGGGAGGCGCCUUUAAUCUUCGAACUUUAAGCGCUUUCGAGCUUUGGGGUAGAUUUUGGAUUUUUUUUUUUUUUGAUUAAUUGUUCUUUCAAUUAACUUCCCUGGGAGAAGUGGUUUAAGUCUCUGCCGGGCAGGAGUGAAACCCUAGACUGAGCCUUGCCAAUUUCCUUUGCGUUUAUUUUUGGAAAUGAACAAGGGAUGGAGGAGCGAAGGGUAAAUGAAACCCCGCAAACCCAGGUCCAGACUGCGGAGCCGCUGAGGUGUUCGGCGGUUGGCUCACCGGUGGGUCUGUAAAUGGUCAGGGGCGCAGCGCGGUGCCUGCCCUGCCGCCUCUUUCCCGCGCACUGCUGGCUCUCUCCCGUGUUGAGGUAGCUGAUUAACAGACCAGGUGUCCCGGUUAUUGCUGCAACCUUCCGUGAAAUGAAUUGCAGGGAAGUUAUCCCCUGAAUUUAACCCUGUAAAAUAAGUUGAGUUGCGAGCUACAAGGUCAUCUACGAGAGGAAAGCUGUGGAACCCUUCCCCAAAAAUGCCAGAGCCGCAGCCUCACCCAGUUCCGUGUACAAUUUCAGGGGGUUCACGGCCCCGCCUGCAAUCCUGUGCUUGAAACGCCGAUUAAGAACUUCAGGCGAAGGGGUUCAUCAGCUAGGGGAAAGAAAUGCAGAGCAGUCGUGGAACCGGAUGAUCCAAGCUGCACCCUCACCUGAAACUGGCCAACAGGUGGCAUGAUUAUGAGUGUUUUUUUCCUCAGUACUACCUUUUUUGUUAUGACAGUUGAUUUGUUUUAAAGCAAUAAAACAUUACAGAUACAAUGGAAGCAUCCUGUAUUUGUGAUGUAUUUGCUAGUAGUCGUAGUAACUAACACGGUUUGAGUGUGUACUCAGUGGCAGUCACUGUUCUAAGUGCUUUACCUGUGUUAAUUUAUUUAAUUUUCACACCAACCUGAUGAAGAAGGUUUUAUUGCCAUUCCCAUUUUAUAGAUGAGCGAAGUAAAGUAUACAGAGCCCACAGUUAGUAGUAGUUGGACAUGAAAGUCACCUAACUUGCAAUCAGUGUAGUCCCACCUUAGGUUUGGGACUUCACCUUGAGGAGAGACUAGGUGAAAAGCCCUGGAACUUGGUGUGGAAUUGGGUUUUCUAUUGAACUCAUGGGAUGUCAAUGUGGUCUUAGGUUAUUAAAUGAAAAUUAGAGGCAGGGAAUGAUGAAGGUAAGCAAAUUUGAAAGGCCCCCCCACCCCCACCUGCCCCAGCCCCAUCAUAGUAUAUUCACCAGGGAAGACUGAAUUCUUUUAUCAUGUCAUUUUUCUCUUUGACUGAGAACAUUCUCUUAAACUUGAUCGUUGAUUCCUUCCUUAAGAAAAAAGGUGUAGAAACCCAGAAAGACUGAUUAGUUUGUAAAAGCUGGCUCAUACACUUCCAAAAUACGAAGCAGUUGGAAAAGGUAGAGGAAAAAAGGCAGUAGGAAUUUACACCACUGAGGACUCCUUCUUAUUUAUAUUUUCUUUAAAAAAAAAUCAGAGCCAUUAGUUCUGUGCAUUGCUGAGAACCGCUACCUCCCACCUUACUUUAUGCUAAUCCACCCAGUGCAGUCGAGUCGAUUCCGACUCAUAACGACCCUAUAGGACAGAGUAGAACUGCCCCAUAGAGUUUCCAAGGAGUGCCUGGAGGAUUCGGACUGCCAACUCUUGGUUAGCAGCCGUAGCACUUAACCACUACACCUAGACUGCUAAAUACUCUUCAGGGCACAUCUGUAAUUUGCCGGUUUUCCCCAGAGCUACUUUCUUCUCUUAAAUUGGUGGAAGGCGGAUUGGGUGAAUCAGCCAGUAGCCAGUGUUCCAUUGCUAACCAAGAUCUAGAAAACAGGGGUCUCUCUCCAUCCUCAGAGGGACAGUCUGGGAAGGAACUGGCUUUUAGGAACUUGAGUUGAAGCUCUUGAUUACUUGGAACUUGAGUAUUGAUUGAUGUUUUUGGGAGAGAGUAUGGAAUGACAAUAUGGGAAUGUAAUCUAGGUGCUUGUGGUCACUGCCCUCCCGAGUCCAGUUUCCAUCUCUGGCAGGACAGACCUCACAGGGGCUUGGCACUUCCAGCCGCAUGUUUCCUUUGUGACCAGGGAGCAAGAUGUGUAAUCCUGGGCAAGUUCCUUAGCCUCUCUGUGCCUUGUUUUCCUCAUCUGUAAAAUGAGGAUAAUAAUAGGGUUGUUGAGUAUUUUUACUAUAUGGAGAAUGGUGCCUGGCACUUAGUAAGAGGUUAAUUAAUUAAUCUUAGCACCAUCAUCCUUGUUGUUGUUGUUACUUUGAACUUAAUAGAAUUCUAGAUGUCAUUGCAGGUUCUGUGGGCUCUGUAACUGGGAGAGUUUAUCCGUCUUACCUAUCUCAUCUUCCUGCUCCCCACCCUUCCUGAAUCAGGAAAAUACCAUCUAGCCUAAAAACCUAACUAGCGAUUUCUGGGAAAUAUCAUCUAGCAGAUGACAAAUUCAGGCAAGCUUAGGGGUUUUUCAGAAAUCUUGAAUUCUUUCACUUUUGAUGCAAAACAUUUUUAUUUCCUCAAUGUUCAAUUAUUGAGGUCAGCACUAAUUUCCAGUUUUCUCAUCUGUCAAGUAGGAAUAAUAAAAUUGCACCACCUCACAGGUUGUUCUGAGAAUCAAAUGAGUUGUUAAAUAUGGAAGCUGUUUAUAAACUGUAAAAAUAAUGGGCUACAUACAAAACGAAUUUGAUUUUAUAAUAUAGAAAUGGGGCAAAGGUUUUUGCAUCACAAGGCCUCUUGGUGCUUGUCCAUGAUCGGGGUGGUGGGGAGGAGAAGAGGGAAAGUGCCAGGCAAACAUCAGUUAUUUUUAUUGGAGCUCCCAGAAGUGGGGACUGAUGUAGACCUAAAGAAGGAUGUCACAGGACACACAGUGGCAUUAAGUGGACUAAGGAUGGGUGGAGGUGGAAUAGGUCAACUUGCCUGUGGAAUUCAGGACUGAGGGACCAGUAGGGGGCAUGAAGUAAAAUAUGUCUUUUCUGCAUUACAGGGAAAUGAGGCCUUUCACAGUAGAUAGUGGAGGUUUGCCGAGGACACAUGUUUUCCUGAUUGGCAGCCAUAUUAGGGAACGUUCACUUAGAACGUGGGCUGUAAAGCUGUAUAUGGAAGACUUAAAGGCUGAGUUUCCCAUGUUUGCUUUUCCAAAAUUUGUUUUCCUCAGGAUAAAGUCAUCUGCCUGUAAAUACUCAGUGUCCCCUGCAAAAGGGACCUUUCUUGUAUGAGUAAAUGAUGCUUCGUGUUACUAUGGUAACAUACGAAGUAGAGAUGACUUUUCCAUUAGAUCUGUCUCUAGGGACCUUUUGAAAGUGUGUUUUGAACAAGGUCCUAUUCUUUGGGUUGCCCACUAAAAGGGAUGGGCAAAGGGAAGUGGAGGUUGGGUCAAUCAAAAUGAGAGUUAAUAGCCUACACGCACUGAAUUAGGCAUCGUGUUCUUGGUUUCCUGCUCAAAGGCUCUAUAGUAUCUUCUACAGCAGUGUUCUCAAACAUGAACAUAUAUCAGAAUCACCAGAAGGGCUUGUUAAAAAGAUGCUGGGCUCCUUCCCCAGAAUUAUGAUUCAGCAGGCCAGAAAGCUUGCAUGUCUAGCAAGUUCCUAGGUGUGGCUGAUGCUGCUCAUAUGGGGUCUCACUCUGAGAACCAUUGCUGUACGAUAAGUUGCUGUUAGGGAAAUGUCUGGCAUAACAAAUUACAUUUUAUUGAAAGUAUGUGGAUUUACGAGCCAUUAUCAAAGGUGCCUCUAUGGUCUGUCUUGCUGACCAGGGCAGACUUAGAACUCUUGCUGAAACGUCUUAAUUGUUGUAAGUGUUCUUGUACUUUUUCCAUGGAAAAUGUAAUGACCCUGCGUUAUUAAAUUUAAGCUUACCAACGUUAAUCAUGUCAGGCUGACUGGCUUGCUUGCUUUCCUUUUGAUUGCCAAAAAUUGACCAUUGUUUUGCUGCCAUUUCAAAUAUUUUUAAUCACUUAAUUUUAAAGUAUGACCUUAAUUCUAUGCUAAAGGCUAAUAUGUUUAGGUUGCAUUUAGAGAGAGGAUUAGGGGAUUUUUAUGGUGACUUUUUGGUUUUGUUUUGCUGGGUUAUUUUUCCUGUGAAAUGUCAAGUAUAAGAAAUAUAGAAUCAGGGAAGCUAGAAAUCAACUCCAGAACCAUCUCUUGGAAGCAGCUCUUCAGUCCAAGUAUAGGGCACAUUCCCUUUGGAUCAACUCUAAAAAUUUGGGUAAGUUCUUUCGAAGCAUUAUGAAUUUAUUGUACUAAAUAUGACUUAAGGAAUAAAUAGCUGCUAAUGGGUUUGGAGCCCUAGUGGCGCAGUGCUUAAGCAUUCAGCUGCUAACCAAGAGGUUGGCAGUCCAAAGCCACCAGUUCCUCCUUGGAAACCCUGUGGGGCACUUCUACUCUGUCUGUAGGGUUGUUAUAAGUCGGAAUUGACUCGACCACAGUGGGUUUUGUUUUGUUUUAACCUGGGUUUAGAAAAAGUUGGAAGCUUACUGAAAUGGAAUUUUGUGUAUUUACCAGAGCUUUGUCUAGUCUUAGAAGAAACUUCAACAUAAUUUUUCUUCAUAAAGAGUCAUACACAGCCCAAUCAAGUGAAUUCUGUACUGAGUACUUUUGCCUUUAAUUGUUAGUGUUGUUGUCCCCCCUUAUCUUGAAAAACUUUGCUUUCCCCACCUUAGUGUUUACACUCUUCAAGUAUUUGUAGGUGAUUAGGGCUUCCUCCAGCCCCUGGGUGGUGCAGUCGGUUAAGCACUUGACUAUAAAACUGAAAGGUUGGUGGUUCGAACCUACCCAGAAAUGUCUCGAAAGAAAAGCCCAAUUAUCUGCUUAUGUGAGGCCACAGCCAUUAGAAAUCCAGUGAAGCACAAUUCUACCCUGACACACACGGGGUUGCCGUGCAUUUGAAUCGACUCGAUGGCAGGUGGUGGUGGUGAGGCAUUUAUCAAGAAGGACUUCUACAUGUGACUCCUUUUCAUCCAGCCUGCUAUUGUCUGGUCUUUUGGGGUUUUAAUCUUUGAAUGUGUUAACUUUCUGACUGAGAACCCCAGUAGCAGAGUCCUGGCUCCUCCGUGUUCAGCCUCAGAUUAAUGUCUGCUGGCACAUGCCCUCUUUUCCCGACUAGUUGGAUGGCCCCUUGAGAGCUGGGACCCUUGGUCUUCAUCUCUGCUGCUGGCACCACUGAGCACAGGCCAGUCUUUGGAGGGGACCAAUAAGCAUUCAGUGAUUCCACGGAGUGGGUGCCCAGUGCAGGAGGCUCCAGUGUGGACUCAAUUGGCAAACACUUGGCUGCUUCGUUAACGUUAAUCCUGAUAAACUCUUAUUGUGAUAAUCAAAGGUGGUCCCAUAUGAACUCUUACAUCACUGAUGUAACUUAGUCCUCAGAAUGGUGUUUUGUUGUUUUUAAAACAUGUUGUGAUUUAAUGUUUUUCUAUGAUUGCAAAAAUGUAUUUUUACUGUGGAACGUAUAGAAAAUGCAGGGAAGCAUAAGAGAAAAAUGUUUUAAAGACCUAUAAUCCCAUCCAUCACUCAAAGAUAACCACAGUUAACAUUUUGAUAUAGAACCUGAUAGAUGAAUGCAUAGGUAGAUAUUAUUUAAAAGAAUGUAUGAUUUUCAGUGAGCUCACUCUGUUCAAAUGACUUGUUUUUGUAACUUAACCUUUCAUAAUAAACAUUUUUAAUGUCACUAGACAUUCAUCCGUAAUAUCACUCUUAGUGGCUGGGUUAUAUCCCCUUGAGUAUGGUUGGUUGGCUGUUGGAUGCCAUCAAGUCCAUUCCAAUUCAUAGUGACCCUAUGUGACUGAGUAGAACUGCCCCAUAGGAUUUUCUUGGCUGUAAUCUUUACAAAAGCAGAUCACCAGGUUGUUUUCCUGCAGAGCCACUGGGUGGGUUAGAACUGCUAACCUUUCAGUUAACAGCUGGUUGCUUAACCGUUGUGUCACCGGGGCUCCUUUCUCUUGACUGUAUGUACUAUAAUUUAACCAAUUUUGAAAUACUUUGGCCAUAAGUGUUUCUAAUUUCUCUCUGUUAUAAAUAAUCUGCACAGUGUUGUUGGAAAUUGAUAUAACUUUUUUUGGAAGUCAGCGUGGCAAUAGCUAUUGAUUUUAAAUGGCAUAACUUUUGAGUCAGUAAUUUCCCUUUUUGAAAUAUAGCCUACAUAAACACCUAAAUGUACAAAGAAAAAUGUAAAGGGUGCUUGUAGUUGGCAUCUUUUGUAACAGCAACAGUUUGCUAGUACCCCGCUAUGAUAAGAUCUCUUAAAUAAGUGUUUAUAUAUCCAUACAGUGUUUUACUAUGUGCCCAUUUAAAAGAAGAAAGAUUUCCAUGACACGUUACAUUUCACAAGGCAAGUUGCAGAACAAAAUGGAGAGUACAAUGCCUUUGGUUUAAAUCAGUUCAUUUUUUAUAGCAAGCGUAUAUUAAAUGUAUAAUGCUUAAAGUCAGUUAAGAUAAAUAAUGAUACAACAGACAUUCUUGUGCAUAAAUUUUUAGCUCAUAUGUGAUUAUUUUGGACAAAUUGCUAGAAAUUGGCCUUUUCUCUCACCAGCAGUGUAUGGAGGCCCAUUUGCAUGAAUCUUCCGUAACACCAGAAGUUAGUUUUGACAUUUGCCAAAUUGACUAGGGGAAAAAGAUCUCAGUCCAAUUUUCAUAUUUACUAUUUUUUAGGGUGAAUAUUUUUAUCUGUUGGCCAUUUGCCAUCUUGUUAUUUGCAUCUUAACCUUUUCUUUUUUUUUUUUUCCUUAUGAGUGAUCAGCCUUCUCUUAGCGUAUUAAUCCCGUAUUGCAAGCCCCUUCCCCCCCCACCGUUUAUUGUUUGUCUUUUACUGGUUUAUGGUAUUUUGACAUACCGAAGGUUUUUAUUUUUAUGUAGCAGUAACUAUAAAUCUUUUCCCUUAAGCUUUGUACCAUUGCUUGUAUAUUUAGAAAAACCUUCCCUACCCUGUAGUGGGAGUCCCUGGGUGAUGCAAACAGUUAAUACACUUGGCUGCAACCAAAAGGUUGGAGGUUCAAGUCCACCCAGAGGCACCUCAGAAGAAAGACCAGGUGAUCUACUUUAAAAAAUCACCCAUUGAAAGCCCUGUGAAACACAGUUCUACUCGGACACACAUGGGGUCACCAUAGGUUGAAAUUGACCCGACAGCAACUGGUUGGUUAACCCCAGAUAAGGCAAACAUUUAUUCAUUUUUUCUUAUAAUUCUUUAGUGGUCUCAUAUAUUAAGUUGAACUCUUUAUACUUUAUUUUAGUCUGUAGCAUAAGGUACAACUCAUUUCAUUUUUUUUAAAAAAGAUAGCCAACUAGUAAUCUCAUUGCCAUUUAUAGAAUAAUCCGUCCUUCCGCUUGCCAUUUGAAAUUUCAUUUUUAUCAUAUGCUAAAUUCUUACGAGUACGUGGAUCUGCUGGUGGAAUUUCAGUUUGUUUCCAUUGUUCUGAAUUUUGCUCCUGUGAAUUUAUUUAUUCUACAAAUAUUUAUUGAGCACCUGUUUUGUGGUGGGACAGCUUCUAAAUGCUGGGAAUCAGUCAAAAGUGGGACAGAGCCCUUGUUCUCAUAAAGCUCGGUUCUAGUGGUGAGAAAUUUCCCCCUGCUAUCUAAAUGGUAGGAAACCCUGGUGGUGUAGUGCUUAAGUGCUACGGCUGCUAACCAAAAGGUCUGUAGUUCGAAUCCGCCAGGUGCUGCUUGGAAACUCUACGGGGCAGUUCUACUCUGCCCUAUAGGGUCGCUAUGAGUCGGAAUCGACUCGAUGGCAGUGGAUUUGGUUUUUUGGUUUUAUCUAAAUGGUUAUUGCUGGUAUAGCAAAGCUUUCUUCCCCCGUAUUUUUUUUUUAAUGGGUCUUGUUCUAACAGUCCUUCAGUUGAUACUUUUGGGUUUUCUGUGCAAUCAUGAUUGAUGAUCUCAUAAUUUUGAAUAAUGAUCAUUUGGCCUCCUGGAGUAGUUUUCUCUCAUUACUUUUUCUUACAGUGCUGGCUAGGUUAAAGAACAUGAUAGGGGGUUUGGGGAGCCCAUUCCAAAGUGGGGGCCAUGACUUUCUGAAAGACUUGGCACUUUGUUCUGUUUUGUGUUUUAAAGCAGGAGGAGAUAAUGUGUUAUGUUUUUUUUUUUCUUCCAAAUGUUUUGAGGAUAUUUAUUGACUCAAUUAUAUUAAAACCAUCCUUAAAUGCCUAGAGUAAACUCUUCUUGGCUAUGUGGUAUCAUUCUCUGUACGUAUAGCGAGAUUUGAUCUGUUGCAAGGUGUUUUGGGCCUUGCUUUCUCUUUUUAGAUUUUGAAAUCUAAAUCUUUAUAAAAUAAAUCUUGAACUUUUCAUCUUCUUUUAUUCUCUGGAAUAGUUGAAAUAUUGGAACCAGCGGUUUAAAGCCUUGAAAGAAAUUGCUUAUGACACUUCAGGGCAUGGCCCCUUUUUAGUGGCCAGUGCAGAUUUUCUAUUUUCUUGGGUCAGUUUUGGUAAUUUUUUAUUUUCUUCAAAAUUUACUCAAUUCAGAUUUCUAAAAUUUUACCAUAGAUUUGUAAAUGAUCUCCUUUUAAUUUUUUUUCUUUUGCAUCUGCAGCCCCAGUUAAUGUCACUUUACCAAAUAUGAAACAAAAUUAACACCUAGGCUUCAAAAAUAAACUAGUAUUUUAAGUUGGCUUUUCUCGAUAAUGAUGUUUUCGUGGGGGGGGGGCUUCUUCUUAAUCAAUAAAUCAGAUUCAAAUGCAAGUUUCACAUUGAAUCCCAUUGCUGAAAUCUAUUGCUGUUGAGUUGAUUCCCAUCAUAGUGACCCUAUAGGACAGAGUAGAACUGCCACCAUGGGAUUUCCAAGGCUAUAAAUCUUUAUGGAAGCAGACUGCCACAUCUUUCCACUAUGGAACCGCUGGUGGGUUGGAACCACUGACCUUUCAGUUAGCAGCUGAGUGCUUAACCACUGCGCCACCCGGUCUCCUCAUAUUGAGUAGUUUUCCGUAAACCCAGGUAAAUAACUUUUUAGUUUGUUUGCAUAACUGCAUGUGCCCAGAUUGUUACAGUAAUGCCAUUUCUGCUUUCAAUUGUACAUGGCAUUGCAAUUUAUUAUACAGCCUGCUAAGUAGCUUCCUGGUGGCUCCUUGAGCUUAAAAACCUUCAAAUACAACAUUGUGGUCAUUAGGGGCUACUAUAGUGUUUGGGGAAAUGCUGGUGGCAUAGUGGUUAAGUGCUACAGCUGUUAAGAGGUUGGCAGUUCAAAUCUGCCAGGCACUCCUUGGAAACUCUAUGGGGCAGUUCUGCUCUGUCCUACAGGGUUGCUAUGAGUCAGAAUCCACUCGACGGCAAUGUUUGGAGUAAGACAAUCAGUGCCGGUAGGGGAGAUUGUUGUUUGUACUUUUUUUGUUUUGUUUUGUUUUUAAGAUCAGCACUUGAAAUACUGGAUUCUUGCAAAGAAACUAAAUCGUCCGUUUAGGUUUUUUAGUGCCUUUAAUCUGAGUUUAAGGAGCCCUGGUGGCACAGUGGUUAAGCGCUCGGCUGCUAACUGAAAGGUCAGUAGUUCGAACUCACCGGCCACUCUGCAGGAGAAAAAUGUGGCAGUAAACAUUACAGCCUUGGAAACCCUAUUGGGCAGUUCUCCUCUGUCCUGUACGGUCCCUAUGAGUUGGAGUGGACUUGACAGCAACAGGUUUGGUUUUGGUUUAAUCUGAGUCUGAAUGAGGUCAGUAUACAACUCCCUGGGCGCUUAGAAGAGUGAGGCACUUUUACUGCCCUUGGAACUCUGUCGUCAUCUCUUGCCAGGUCUGAAGCAUUCUCUGUGUAACUGCUGUCCUUCCAAAAGGCACAGGAGAUUGACUGACUAAGUGGUACCCGUAAUGUGGUGAUACAAAGGCGCCUGGAGCUGAUAACUGGGAGGUUUGCAAUUACACACUCUGCCCCCUCCCUCUGCCAAGCCUUGGCACCUAUCAAGGGAAACACAAACUUACGGUGCUUCUCUUGGUUGAAAAACAGCUUACGGCCUGUAACUUCUACCAUGGCAGUGGCUUUGAGGAAUUGACAUAUGAAUUCUCGCAGGGCAUAACCUGUUCCACAACCCUUCAGUUUGUCGGUUUGUCGUACUGUGGAGGCUUGUGUGUUGCUGUGAUGCUGGAAACUGUGCCACCAGUAUCUUAAAUACCAGCAGAGUUAUGCACAGUGGACAGGUUCCCGCAGAGCUUCCAGACUAAGACAGUCUAGGAAGUAUGGCCUGCUGAUCUAUUCCGAGAAAAUUAGUCAAUGAAAAUCCUGUGGAUCACAACAGAACAUUGCCCAUUGUCAUCAGGAGGGAUCAAUCGCUAGAGGAGAACAUCAUGUUUGAUGAAUUAGGGGACCAGCAAGGGUGAGGGAGACCCUCAAUGAGAUGAAUUGGCACGAUAGCCUCAAUGAUGGACUUGAACAUUCAGGUGAUCGUGAGGAUGAUACAGGACUGGGUAACGUUUCAUUCUGCUGUAUAUAUGUAUAAGGUCACUGAGUUGGAGUCAACUUGACCACAGCUAUCUAUCAUCCAUCCAUCCAUCCAUCUAGCCAUCCAGCCAUCCAGCCAUCCUCUGUUCACCUUAUUUGUCACUGAGCUCUACUGAAAACUGCAUGCUUGAGCCCUUCACACCUUGGGAGGGUUUCUGGGUUAUAGUUUUUACAUCAGAGGAAUGUGUCAGACGGUUUGCAUACUGAACACAGUCCCUGCCAGCAAAUUUAAACAAUGACAGAUGUUUUUUUGCACAUAGCAGACCUUGGGUGUUAAAAUUAGGGUUUCAGGGGAUGAAUCAUAGGUCCCUGAACUGGAAUGAAAGCAAGCCUGGGGCUUGAGCAUUCUUUUAGGGAUGUGAGGUCAACUCAUAGAUCACACAAAUGGGUAAUCCUUCUGGAGCUGGACUCUCCCUGAACCUCAUCAACCACUCCCCUGGCCCCCAAAGAAAACCCCCAAAACAAACAGCCCUUGUGCUGGCCACAGUCCAGGCUACUUGGUGCUUACAGAACACGCAUACUCUUUUCGUUACCUACCCAUGUGGGCUGUUCAGAACACACUUCUUCUCCACUAGCCCUGGUUAAGUCCUGCUCAUUCUUCCUCCAAAAUGAAACCAAAAUCAGAACCUACAAACAAAAGAAUCUGAAACCCAACCCCCAAACCUGAGCUCCCCAGCAGCAUCCUUUUACUCGGUUUAACUACCAGGGAAACUACCAGGUUUCUUUCUGUGCCCAAUACAGGUAAUUUGUAUAGCCAUGUUUUUUCUUUCCUUGAAAAACGACAUUUGGUAGAUUCUGUUUUGAAAUCUGCUUUUCACCAGCAACAUAUAGUGUAAACAUUUCUGAGGCAAAAAAUAUAAAUAUAAUCAAUGACCUAUGAUUCUUUAUCCAUCCCUAUUGAUGGAGAUGUAGGUUGUUUUAGAUUUUUAAAUAUUCAGACCUGAGGUGAAAAUACUGGCAGCGAAAUCCUUGCUAACAUUUUAAGUUAUCGUUUAUGACAUACCCCCAGAAAUGGAUUCUUAGGUCAAAAGGCACAUAUCUUUCCCAUCUCUUUAAUUAUGUUUGGACAACCUUCCAGAAUGGCUGUACAAAUUUCUGCUCCUAUCACCUAUAUGGAGCCCUGGUAACACAGUGUUAAGUGUUCGGCUGCCAACCAAAAGGUCAGCAGUUCAAAUCCACCAGCCAUUCCUUGGAAACCCUAAGGGGGCAGUUCUCCUCUGUCCUAUAGGGUCUUUAUGAGUCAGAAUCGACUUGACAGCAAUGGGGGUAAGACGAUGAUCUUUGAGUUGUCAACUGGUGUCAAUUCCACAGGGAGAAAGGGUUAUAUUUUUAGCCCUCGUAGGUUGAAGAAGGUUUCAGAGACUGGACUGGUUAUGCCCAGUAGGCCAUUUGAAAAUUAGAGAUUUAGGCUUAAGAACACAGCAUCAACUCGGUGUGUAAUGGGAACUCGUUUUCUUAUGAAAUGGCUCUUUCCCUUACUGUGCAACAGAGAACAAAACAAAACAGUCCUUUCAGCUAAAUUGGAUUUUUUGGAUUUCAGAUAAAAGGCAGGGCGUUUUUCUUUUAACGCUAGUAACAGAGGCUUUGGAGUAUCUCGCCUGUCACUCACGUGGGCUGUAUCUAAGUGAUCAAACAGUACUUGGAACCUUUGUGAACCAGGCAUAGUGUAGAAUUUGGUUGUUAAUUCAUUCAAGGAGGCUACUUUAUUCACUUAUGCUGGAUUAUAGAGCCAAAGAAAUGAAUAACAAAAACAGGAUCUAUCACUGCAAAGUGAGGGAUGCUAUUUAUUUUAUUUGUUUUUGUAUGUGGGUUGUUCAUUUCAGCAAGCAUUUACUGUGUGUGUCAGAUACUUUGCUGAGCUGUGCAGAUAAUUGAUACAAAGGGGACUGUGACGUAACCCUUGACCCCAGCCCCUGAAUUCCUUGCAGAGGAUGGCAGAAACACACACACAAUGUUUCACAAAACAGCAUUAGGUGCACAGCAGGCAACCUGGGCUCAAAAGAAGAGUCAGUGAUAUGACAUGGCUAGGACACUUUUUUAAAGAAGCUAAGGGCCAACGUUUAGGACACUGCCUGGCACAGAUUUCACUCUCUAAGUGCCUUACCUGCUGCACCAACUCCUUUAGUCCAUCUAGCAAUCCUUUAAGACAUUUUACAGAUGAGAAUAACGAGGCACAAAAAUGCUAAGCAACGUGCUCAGGGUCCUACAGCCAGCAAGUGGCAGAAUGAGGGUUUGAACCCAGGCAGCCUGGCUCCAGGGCUUGCCUGCCGUCCUAGCCACUCUGUUGUUCUGCUUCUCUGUGUCAUUCAUGGAAGGCUAUGGAUGCGGAGGUGCCUGGAGCCAUUCCUGCGUGAGGGUGCCAUAUUGCAGUAGACAUCAGGCUUAUACAUAACCAGACUUUCAGACAGCCGUUCCCCUAAGCAUUAACAUAUCGAGAGUAAUUGCCACGCUGGUUGUUGCCAUGCUGGUUAAAAAGAAAUACUGUACUGCUGCUUGCCAAUGCUGUGAAGUAUGAUAAAAAAAAAAAAAAAAAAAGCAAGUGUGGAAGAGUGCUUUUUCCCCUCCUCAGUCAAGAGUUCAGAUGCUCAGAAAACAGGUAAUCACGCGAGGCAUGCUAUUUGAUAUGUUUUGUUGUGAACAGGAAACCUCUAAUAAUCAUUAAUGGUGAGAGUCUGCAUUUCUGGAGUUCCUGGGUGGUACAAACAGUCACUGCACUUGACUGCUAACCAAAAGGUUAAAGGUUCAAGUCUACUCAGAGGCAACUCAAAAGAAAGACCUGGCAAUCUACUUUCAAAAAAUCAGCCAUUGUAAGCCCCAUGGAGCACAGUUCUGCUCUGAAACACGUGGGGGCGCCAUGAGCUGGGGUCGACUGGACAGCACCUGAGUUUUGGUUUGCAUUUCUACUCUACGUUUUGUAAAAGGUGUUUGCUUUAAAGGGUGAACUCUUCCAUUUAUGCAGGCAGCCUGUCACCCAGUGGGUGACAUGCCUUAAAGUCACAGUGCAGGUGGGCUGCAGCCCCUAGGACAUUCUGCUGGGUCCCAGCUUCCUGUCCCCACUGCCCCCACUUCUAAGUCUUCCCCAGUCAAUGGUUACCCCAAGUAAUAGCUCAAGAUGGCAGUCUUUUACACUUUUACUUUAACACUUUUAGUUCUUCACAGUCCAGCUAAAGAUAGAACCUGUAACAUUAGCACAUUUGCAACAUUAGUGAUGACAGGUACCCCCAGAAAAAAACAGGCAUUUCCCCUGACUAAUAGCAGAUAAGAACAAAAAAUGCCUUUGCUGUUUCAUUGUGCAUAGGAACUUCAUUCAGCUAGCUGCAUCUUUUUUUUUUUUUUCUUUAGAUGGCCUUUGCCCCACUGAACAGAUACUUAGACACUUUAGUACCUGGCUCAUGUCUGGAUCCCCAGGUGUUAGAGCAGGGCCGCGGUGUGGGCAUUGUGCAAAUGUUUGUUCAAGGUGGGAUAUUUUUUUUUUUUCCAGGUAGAGGGAAGGGAGUUGUAUACAUUGGCAAACAGUAAAACAGCCAGUGAGGUCGACCUCUCUUUUGCAAUCAGUGAACUUCUGAAAACAAACACACACAAAAAAUGUGGGUUCUAAAAAUCUGUAUGCUUUUUAAACUUGUUUGAUAAUCCUCUUCUAGAAUAGUCUCCCCUUAAUUUGUAAAUGCAAAUCAUUCAUGUUGCUGGUUCGCUUAAAAUAGAUGGAUCACUUGCAGUGGCCAAAAGAAAAAAGUGGACAAGUUGGUGACUCUAUAAACUCAUUCUACAGGUCCAUUAGGGGGCUGCAGUAUGUGUAGUAAGGGGAAGAGUUGAUGUUUCAGGGAGCCAGGGAAGUAAACUAUCUCCUGAGAUUUAAACACACAGACAGCAACUCUUUAUAGAAAUUCUGUCAUCCUUGGAGCAGAGGCUUCGUAUUUCCCACAGUUGCACGUUCGGCUUCCUUGAUCUUCAUUUGUGUCAAUUAAUCUCUUAGGAACCACUAUCUAUUAUUUUUUCCCGGUCUAAAUGAUUUUUAGUUGUAACAUACAGCAGAAUUUUUUUUAAAAAGGAGGCUUAAUCUUUUACAACAGAGCAGUUCCUUUGGAUCAAAAUGUCUUCACCUUUUCAGUUUGUACCUCACAGCCCAAGGAACCAAAAUUGCACAGAGCUGGUGAGUGAUAACCAGGAAAAAGUUUUGGUGAAAUAAGCCCCACUGUUUUCCAGCAGUAAAGAAAAUAGCAGGAGGGGCCCAAGAUGGCAGAGUAUUCAGAUGCUUCCUAUGGUCCCUCUUACAACAAAGACCUGAAAAAAACAAGUGAAUCGAGUAUAUAUGACAGUCUGGGAGCCCUGAACAUCAAGGGCAAGUUGAGGAGUCAGACUGAGCAGCAGGGUGAGGAAGAGAUAGUUCAGAAGCAGCGAGGAGUUGUCAGACCUGACCCGGAGGGAACCAGCACCCUGCAGGCUGGAUUCACUGGUGUGAGCGUGGUGAGACGAACAGUGGCACUUGGGACACGUUUUCCACAUCAGGAGAGACUGAGUGGCAGAGAGUCCACUCACUCCUCCAGAGUCAGCGAAAGGUGGUGAUCAAUCAAUAAAAGAUAAGUAAGCACGUCUAAUCUACCACGUGGAUCAAAAAAAACCCCUUUGGGGAAGAAACUCUCUCCCGUUUACCUGACUACUCUCCACUCUGCACCAGGUCCAGAGCCGGUUGCAGUGAUAGCUGCUUCCCCUGGGCCAGAAGUAGGAACUGUUGCAUGCCCUGAGCCAUUAUCCUGGCCUUGAAGAAGGAAUAAGUUAAAAAAGUAGAAAAAAAUAAUCUUCCAGCUGCCCUAAUCUGGGAACUCAGGAGAGAAACAGCUCCUUUGCCUAGGCACAGACAUAAGGGGUCCAUGGACUUUGAACGCCUUUCACUCCUGCAUAGACUUGUGUAGGCCCAUUUCAACAGCAUAGGCCUGCAUUAGCACAUUACAACAGGGUGGAUACCUGAAGUCUAACUUCAACUGUUUCAACUAUAUGGUGGAGGGGUAGGUUCAUGACAUUUGCACCACUCUGCCUAUUAAGCAGGGCCCUCACCUGCCCACAUCAGAGGCCUGAGGACUGGUGGCUCCACCCGUGCCACCUAGCCACCACAACAGGGGUCCAAGGAUAAGUGGUGCCUCCCAGUCCUUACAGCCAACAGCACUGGGUGCCCAUAGUCAGCUACAAAACCCACCCACGUGCGUGCUCUAGGGAACAGGGACAUGCUUUCUUCACAGACACUCAGGGGUCAUUGUCAGUCCCCUGUCUUGCUCAGCGUGUGACCCCUGCUACACCCAAAUACCUGUGCCUACACCAAUCACUUCUGCGUGUGUAAGACUGUGAGAGCCUGCACCACAUGCUUGGUGAUCAACUACCUGGACUCCUGAGAUGAAUCUAUACAAGAAAAGUAAAUUGACUCCUGGGCUCAUAUACCUAGUAACAGCUCUAAUCACCUGGUGACAGGAUGUUAGAGCUUCAAAGUUGCCAAUAAUCAGAUAGCUCACUCAAGCAACCUAUUUGGACGUAUCAAAACAAGACAAAACAAAACAAAAAGCUAGGACACAGAAAACAUAAAAUAAAUAAAUACAAUAACUUAUUGAUGGCUCAGAGACAAGAGUCGUAUCAAAUCACAUAAACAGUAAGCUCCCAAAACACAGAAUCAAGAAAUCUUCCAGAUGAAGAGAACUUCCUGGAACUACCUGACAUAAAAUACAAAAGAUUGAUAUACGGGAGCUCUUCAGAAGAUCAGGCAAAAUGCAGAACAAGCCAAGGAACACAUGGACAAAGCAUUAGAGUAACUUAAGAAGAUUAGAGAAGAGCGUAAUGACAAAUUUAAUCAUUUUCAAGAAUCCGUAGACAGCAAACAGAAAUCCAGAAGAUAAACAAUAAAUUUUCAGAAUUAGACAACUCAAUAGAAAGUCAUAGAAGCAUUGAGGAAAUGGGAGUGAGAAUUAGUAAGAUUUAAGAUAAAGCACUUGACACCAAAGUAUUUAAGGAAAAAUCAGAAAAAUGAAUUAAAAAAAAAUGAAGAAACCCUAAGAAUUAUGUGUGACUCUAUCAAGAGGAAUAACCUACAAGUGAUUGGAGUAGCAGAAUGGGGGGAUGACAGAAAAUACAGGGAAAAUUGUUGAAGAGUUUUUGGCGGAAAACUUCCCUGAUAUUGUGAAAGAUGAGAAGAUAUCUAUCCAAGAUGCUCAUUGAACCCCACACAAGGUAGAUCCCAAAAGAGUCACCAAGACAUAUUAUAAUCAAACUUGCCAAAACCAAAGAUAGAGUCACAAAGGACAAUAAAAAGUCACCUACAAAGGAGUGUCAGUAAGACUAAGGUCGGACUACUCAGCAGAAACUAUGUAGGCAAGAAGGCAACAAUGGAAUGACAUAUAUAAAGCCUUGAAGGAAAAAAAUCGCCAGCUAAGAAUUAUAUAUCCUGCAAAACCAUCUGUCUAAUAUCAAGGAGAAAUUAGGACAUUUCCAGAUAAACAGAAGCUUAGGGAAUUUGCAAAAACCAAACCAAAAUUACAAGAAAUACUAAAGGGAGUCCUCCGGUUAGAAAAUCAGUAUCAUCAGAUACCAACCUGAGACUAGAACACAGGACAGAGAAACCAGAUAUCAACCCAAACAGGGAUAUCCAAAAAUAAAUCAAAGCUAAAAUUCUCAAAACUGGGAAACAGGGAUGUCAUUAUGUGAAAGAUGACAACAUUAAAACAAAAAAGAGGGACUAAAAACUGUACUCAUAGAAGUUUCAUAUGCAGAGAAAGUCAAGGCGAUAUCAAGAAAUAAAAGAUUGGUUUAAACUUAGAAAAUUAGGGGCAAAUAUUAAAGUAACCACAAAGGAAACUAACAAUUCUAUGCAUCAAAAUAAAAAACAAGAAAAACGUGAAGACUCAGCAGAUACAAAAUGACAAUGAAAAAGAGGAAAAGAAAAUAUAUAAGAGAAAACGACUCAGCACAGAAAAUUAAGUGGAACAAAGAAAAUGUCAAUAACACACAAAAAAAGGCGUCAAAAUGACAGCACUAAACUCAUACCUAUCAAUAAUUGUGCUGAAUGUAAAUGGACUAAGUGCACCAAUAAAGAGAGAAUGGCAGAAUGGAUAAAAAUCACGAUCUGUCUACAUGCUGCCUACAAGAGACCCGUCUUAGACUUAAAGACACAAACUAAAACUCAAAGGAUGGAAAAAAAUAUACCAAGCAAACAACAAUCAAAAAAGAGCAGGAGUGGCAGUAUUAAUUUCUGACGAAAUAGAUUUUAAAGUAAAAUCCACCACAAAGGAUGAGGAAAGACACUAUAUAAUCAUUAAAAGAUCAAUAUACCAGGCGCGUGUAACAAUAAUAAAUAUUACGCACCCAAUGACAGGGCUCCAAAAUACAUAAAACAAACUCUUAACAGCAUUAAAAAGAGAGAUAGACAGCUCCACAAUAAUAGUAGGAGACUUCAACAUACCACUUUCGGUGAAGGACAGAACUUCCAGAAAGAAGCUCAAUAAAGACACAGAAGAUCUAAAUGCCACAAUCAACCAACUUGACCUCAUAGACAUAUACAGAACACCCCAUCCAACAGCAGCCAAGUAUACUUUCUUUUCCAACACACAUGGAACAUUCUCUGGAAUGGAGUACAUAUUAGGCCAUAAAGCAAGCCUUAACAGAAUCCAAAACAUGGAAAUAUUACAAAGCAUCUUUUCUGACCAUAAAGCCAUAAAAGUAGAAAUCAAUAACAGAAAAAGCAAGGUAAAAUAAAACAUGGAAACUGACCAACACCUUGCUCAAAAACUACUGGGUUCUAGAAGAAAUUAAGCACAAAAUAAACAAAACUCAUAGAAUCAAAUGAGAAUGAAAACACUUCCUACCAGAAUCUUUGGGACACAGUGAAAGCAGUGCUCAGAGGUGAAUUUAUGACAAAAAAUGCACACAUCCAAAGAGAAGAAAAGGCCAAAACCAAAGAAUUAUCCAGAGACCUCGAACAAAUAGAAAGAGAGCAGCAAAAGAAACCCUCAGGAACCAAAAGAAAGCAAAUAGUAAAAAUUAGAGCAGAAUUAAAUGAAAUAGAGAACAGAAAAACAAUUGAAAGAGUUAACAAGACCAAAGGCUGGUUCUUUGAAAAGAUCUACCAAAUUGAUAAACCAUUGGCCAAACUGACAAAAGAAAAACAGGAGAGGAAGCAAAUAACCUGAAUAAGAAAUGAGAUGGGCGAUAUCACAACAGACCCAACUGAAAUUAAGAGGAUCAUAACAGAAUAUUAUGAAGAAUUGUACUCUAACAAAUUUGAAAACCUAGAGGAAAUGGACAAAUUUCUAGAAACUGCCUAAACUAACACAAACACAGGUAGAACAACUAAAUAAACCUAACAAAAGAAGAAAUUGAAAAGGUCAUUAAAAAACUCCUCCCCCCCCCCAAAAGAAAAAUCCCUGGUCCUGAUGGCUGCACUGGAGAAUUCUACCAAACUUUCAGAGAAGAGUUAACAUCACUGCUACUAAAGGUAUUUCAGAGCAUAGGAAAGGAUGGAAUACUCCCAAACUCAUUCUAUGAAGCCAGGAUAACCCUGAUACCAAAACCAGGUAAAGACACAAAAUUGCAGACCAGUAUCACCUCCUGAACUUAGACAUAAAAAAUCCUCAACAAAAUUCUAGCCAAUAGAAUUAAACAACAUAUCAAAAAAAAAUCAUUCACUAUGACCAAAUGGGACCAGGUAUGCAGGGAUGGUUUAACAUUAGAAAAACAAUCAAUGUAAUCCAUCACAUAAAUAAAACAAAAGACAAGAACCACAUGAUCUUAUCAACUGUUGCAGAAAAGGUAUUUGACAAAGUCCAACACCCAUUCAUGAUAAAAACUCUCAGCAAAAUAGAAGGGAAAUUCCUCAACAUAAUAAAGGGCACUUACACAAAGCCAACAGCCAACCUCAUCCUAAAUGGAGUCUGAAAGCAUUCUCCUUGAGAACAGGAACCAGACAAGGAUGUUCUUUAUCAAUGCUCUUAUUCAACAUUGUGCUGGCGAUCCUAGCCAGAGCAAUUACACUAGAAAAAGAAAUAAAGGGCAUCCAAAUGGGUAAGGAAGAAGUAAAGGUAUCUCUAUUUGCAGAUGGUAUGAUCUUAUGCGCCAAAAAUCCUCAAAAAAUCCACAAGUAAACUAUUGGAACUAACAGAAGAGUUCAGUAAAGUAUCAGGAUACAAGAUGAACAUACAAAAAUCAAUUGGAUAUCUCUACACCACAAAGAGAAUGUUGAAGAGGAACUCACCAAAUCAGUACCAUUUACAAUAGACCCCAAAAAGAGAAAAUACUUAGGACUAAAUCUAACCAGAGCUGUAUAAAACCUAUACAAAGAAAACUACAAGACACUACUGCAAGAAACCAAAAGAGACCUACAUAAGCGGAAAAACAUACCUUGCUCAUGAAGACUCAGAAAGACUCAACAUUGUGAAAAUGUCUAUUCUACCCGAAGCAAUCUAUAGAUGCAGUGCAAUCCCGAUCUAAAUUUCAGUGGCAUUUUUUAAUGAGAUGGAGAAACAAAUCAUCGACUUCAUAUGGAAAGGGAAGAGGCCCCAGGUAAGUAAAGAUAACUGAAAAAGAACUAAGUGGGAGGCCUCACACUGCCUGAUUUUAGAACCUAUUUAUACCACCACGAUAGUAAAAAACAGCCUGGUACAACAAUAGAUACAUAGACAAAUGGAACAGAGUUGAGAGUCCAGACAUAAAUUCACCCACUUGAGAGCACCUGAUAUUUGACAAAGGCCCAGAGUCCGUUAACUUGGGAGAAGUUAGUCUCUUUAACAAAUGAUGCUGGCAUAACUGGAUGUUCAUUUGCUAAAAAAUGAAACAAGGCCUAUACCUCACACCAUGCACAAAAACUAACUCAAAAUGGAUCAAAGACCUAAAUAUAAAAUCUAAAAUAAUAAAGAUCAUGGAAGAAAAAAGUAGAGACAAUGCUGGGAGCCCUAAUACAUGGCAUAAACAGUAUACAAAACAUUACUAACAAUGCACAAACACCAGAAGAGAAACUACGUAACUGGGAGCUCCUAAAAAUCAAACACUUACACUCAUCCAAAGACUUCACCAAAAGAGUAAAGAGACAACCUACAGACUAGGAAAAAAAAUUUUGGCUAUGACAAAUUCAAUCAGGGUCUAAUCUCUGAAAUCUACAAGAUACUGCAAAACCUCAACAACAAAAAGGCAAAUAACCCAAUUAAAAAAUAGGCAAAGAGUAUGAACAGGCACUUCACCAAAGAAGACAUUCAGGUGGCUAAUAGAUACAUGAGAAAUGCUCACGAUCAUUAGCCAUUAAAAGAGAAAUGCAAAUCAAAACUACAGUGAGAUACCAUCUCACCCCAACAAGGCUAGCAUCAAUCCAAAAAACACAAAAUAAUAAAUGUCAGAGACGUCGUGGAGAAACUGGAACACUUAUACACUGCUGGUGGGAAUGUAAAAUGGUACAACCGCUUUGGAAAUCAUUUGGCACUUCCUUAAAAAGCUACAAAUAGAACUACCAUAUGAUCCAGCAAUCCCACUCCUUGGAAUAUAUCCUAGAGACAUAAGAGCCCAAUAGAUAUAUGCACACCCAUGUUCACUGCAGCACUGUUUACAAUAGCAAAAAGAUGGAAACAACCAAGGUGCCCAUCAAUGGAUGAAUGGAUAAACAAAUUAUGGUAUAUUCACACAAUGGAAUAGUAUGCAAUGAUAAAGAACGAUGAAUCUGUGAAACAUAACAUGGAUGAACCUGGAAAGCAUUAUGCUGAGUGAAAUUAGUCUGUUGCAAAAGGACAAAUAUUGUAUGAGACCACUAUUAUAAGAAUUCAAGAAAAGGUUUAAACAGAGAAGAAAACAUUCUUUGAUGGUUACAGGAGUGGAGAGGGAGGGAGAGAGGUACGUAUUCGCUGACUAGAUGGUAGACAAGAAUUAUUUUAGGUAAAGGAAAGAACAACACACAAUACAGGAGAAGUCAGCACAACUGGACUAAACCCAAAGCUGAGAAGUUUCCUGAAUACAAUCAAACACUUUGAGGGACAGAAUAGCAGGGGUGGAGGUCUGGGGACCAUGGUUUCAGAGUCCAUCGAGGUCAAUUGGCAUAACAAAAUGUAUUAAGAAAACCUUCUGCAUCCCACUUUGGUGAGUGGUGUCUGGGAUCUUAAAAGCUAGCAAGUGGCCAUCUAAGAUGCAUCAGCUGGUCUCAACCCACCUGGAGCAAAGGAGAAUGAAGAACACCCAAGGAAAAUAUGAGGCCAAGAGACAGAAAAGGCCACAUAAACUCCAUCAGCCUGAGACGGGAAGAACUAGAUGGUGCCCAGCUACCACCAAUGUCUGCCCUGACAGGGAACACAACAGAGAAUCCCUGAUGGAGCAGGAAAAAAGUGGUAUGCAGAACUCAAAUUCUGGUAAAAAGACCAGACUUAAUGGUUUGACUGAGAUGGGAGGUACUCCAGAGGACAUGGCCCCCGGAUUCUCAGACCAGAACUAAAACCAUUUUUGAAGCCAACUCUUCAGACAAAGACUGGACUAUGAGACGUAAAAUGAUACGGAUGUUCUUUUUAGCUCAAGUAAACACAUGAGACUAUGUGACCAGCUCAGAUCUGGAGGUGAGAUGAGAAGCAGAGGGGAACAGGAGCUAGUUGAAUGGACAUGGGAAAUACAGGGCGGAGAGGAGGAGUGUGCUGUCACAUUGUAGGGAAAGCAACUAGGGUCAUAUAACAAUGUGUAUAUAAGUUUUUGUGUGAGAAACUGACUUGAAGUGUGAACUUUCACUUAAAGCACACUAAAAAAAGAUAAAGAAAAUAAAUGUGCUUAAUCAUUCAUAGAUGUGCUUCACCUACUAAUCAGGGAACACUAUCCGGUGUUUUCUGUUCUUCUGUGGGAGGAAUCGCCUGAAGCCCGGAGAUGGUUCUGCCCCAUUGGUGGCUAUUCAUUGGCCAGUGAGCUCCUAACUUUGAGAAAUGAACUGCAGAGGGGGCUGCAUGGGUAGUGUUUGACCCCAGAAUACAGGAUAUAUUAUGCACCUUCCCUUGACUAUACUUCAUUAAACAAGGCAGAGCACCAGUUGCCCUUGGGAGUGUGGGAGAGGGUCAGGCUGGAAGGCGAGACUUCCGCCUCAUGAGUGUGGUUUCCUUCUUGGGGUUGCCAGGCCCAGAGGCUGGUUCUCUUCAAUCAAGGGUACCCUUCUGGGGCUCUGAUGUCAUCUGACUCUACUGUAAGCGUAGCAAACGCAGAGGAAUGACUUCACCGUUUGGCCCUGAAGAUAAAGUCAUUCACUUUUGUGAGAAAGCAUGAUUAGGCUCCCAAUAUGAUAAGUAAAAAGCAUUAAGAAGAUCUGGAUUGUUCUAAACUACCUGGCUAUGUUCUGUUUUUGGUUUUCUCCAUUUUACUCAUUGCUGUCGAGUCGAUUCCGACUCAUAGCGACUCUAUAGGACACAGUAGAACUACCCCAUAGGGUUUCCAAGGAGCACCUGGUGGAUUCUGACUGCCAACCUUUUAGUUAGCAGCCAUAGCUCUUAACCACAGAGCCACCAGGGCUCCUUCUCCAUUUUGGCUUCUUUUAUAAAUAAUUUAGUCACUGCUUUCACCUGGGCUGUUUAUCACCUGAUGAGCUAUUUUCAGAGGCUUCACAGGAAAGGUAGAGGCAGAAAUUUUCUGAAAAACUAGGACUCAGUUUAUAUAAAAACCUUUUGCUUCGAGGAGGUGAAUAAAUUGGUAUGAAUAGCUAUUGAUAUUCUCAUGUACUGUCUCCCUCAUGCAGGGGGGAGAAGAAUCCACUGGGCUUUUGAAGUCAUACUAACGGUCUCUCUGGAUGACCCCUUGCUCCGUUGACAAUAACUGUGUGUGAGAGUGUGGGGGUGAGUGUGUGUGAGAAUGAGUGUGUGCAUGAGAGUGCACGGAUGUGAGAUUGUGAGUGUUUUGGCUGCCUCCUCGUCAGAGGGAACGCUGACUUCUGCCUUUCUAAGAGGGAAGGGCUCCUCUUCGUGGAAGAUACGUGGUCUGUCAUAGUGCUCCAGCCGACAGCCAUCCAGCAUCAUUUACACUACCUUAACAGGUGGCUGUCUCUGGGGAGAGGGCAAAGGAGGGAGGAGGGAGGAAGGAAAGUGUAGACCUGGCUUGUGCGUAAGAGGUUGCUGCAAAGGCAGGACAUUAGAAACCCACAGCAGAGAGUAGUCCCUGGCUUUGUUUGCAGCGAGUACACGCCCUGGGCACAGGCUGGAGCUGAGCCUGUUCAUGUUGCUCCCUGCUCCCUCUGCCUUUUGCUUCUCAUUUCUGCUCCUUCUCCACCAAAAGUCAAAGGAGUAAGUAGAGAAAAGGGUGAUGGAAAAAGUUGGAAACGGGUAAUGGUGAUGCUUGCAUGACAUGAUGAACACAAUGUCACCGAAUUGUACCUGUGAAGAAUGCUGAAAUGGCAAUUGUUGCGCUACACACAUAUUCACCACAAUAUAAAAAAAAUUAGGGAACGGGAAGAGUAGUGUUGGAUGGCGGAAGGAGACCCUGCUUCCAUUUCCCAGAGGAGAGCUAUUCCUGUGUCUUCCCCAGCUUUUUGUUUUAAGUUGACACGACUAAAAGGUACUUGAUGUUCUCCACCCCACAACCGUGGCUUGCCUCGUUCUUACUGGUUUGUCUCCAGUGUCAGCAAAUGAGUCGUCUUGAGCUACCCUCUCUCCUCAUACAAUCAAGUGCACUUGGGUUAUUUGGUAAACAGCUUUCCCACACAUAGCCAUAAGAACAAGUAUUGGCCCGAGAGGAAUAUUCCAUAGGCCUUAAAAUCAGGCAGUGGAUCUAGAAAGUCAAAUGGGUUCACAUUCCUGUCUGUUCCCUCCCUCCUGGGCCUCCUGGGAGUCUUUUUGGAACCCCACGACUAUAAAACCCUGGCAGUGGGCUUUGUUUGUGGCUUGGCAGUCUUGUUACUCUAUGGGUAUGUUUCCUAUUGUACGACCCAAAUGCUUUGGGUUAAAUUAGAGAGACAGAUGGGCAUAGGGAGAGAGGGAAGAACUGGAAGGGGAAGGGACCAUCCCAGUUAAGGGAGGGUAGGCCAGUGUGCCAGCCUCUCAGAGACCACUUGUAAGGCUCUGAUGAGUGGCCCUGUCAGUUCAUGUGACUGUGAGCUGCUUCCAGUUCCCCUGAGUUUUGGUUACUUCUGCACGUGUGCAGUUGGAAGCUAAAUGACCCAUGCUUGAGGGGACUUUCUGUGCUAGGGUUCAGAAUUUCUCAACAGGCUGCACCAUUAGUACCUUAAGCAGAACAAAGUCCUGUGCAUAAUAGAUGUUUAGCAUCCCUGAACCUACCCACUAAAUGCCAGGGGUGCCCCCUAGUCAUUGUGACCAUCAAAAACUACACCCGCAGAUUUCCAGAUGCUUCCUAGAGGGUGGCACCACCAGAUGAGAACCCCUGGGCUAGGAGGCUGGUCUGGUCAGGGUCUCCCACCUCCUGCCCACUUCCUCCUCUGGCCCUUUCUUCAUCUGAUGUCUGCAGUUGUCCCCAAGUCUUUGCUCACCCACUCUCUCCUCUUCACCCUCAAGCUGUUCCUCACUUCUGGGUCCCAAAGAAGAGAACUUAGUCAUCAGUCCCUGAAAUGUGAUGUGAGGCUUCAAGAACAUGUGGGUUUUUUCCCUCUUAACUUUUGUAAAUCUGUAGUUAUGGGAUUUGUGUCCUCACUUUGAGCCUUGCUUCUUCGCCAGCAACCCUUAUCUUGUCACGUGAAUUCUGAGGGGCAUUCUGUGGCCAGCACUAAGAGAGCACGGUGGGGGACACACGGUGGUGAUUGCCUUGGGACAGCACCCUCCCCUCCCCAAGGCCGAUGCUCAUUGGUCUGAAAUGCUGCCCAGUCACACUGAUAUUUACAUUGGCCCAAAACCCAAGGCUGGAAAGGCCUUUGGAGGGUGGUUCCGGGGGUGUCCUGGGUAUUGUGGAGCUGUAAGAAGUGAUGAGUUUGUCAUCAACAAGCUAUUCUCAUGGAGAAAAUGGGGCAGAGUUCAAGGAUUGCUUAUUUUCACCUCCUUCCCACUCUUUUGGUUCCCAUUCUUACCCUAUUUCCAAGCCACUUGCUGGGAGUGACGUGUAUACAUGGCAUUGACAGAACAGAGGGGAUGGGCCUGGCUUUGUUGGGGCCACUGAGAGGUUAACUCUGCUGGCCUGCAGUCCCCACGAAUAGAUCACUGCUGGCCCUGGGCCCAGAGGCUGGCAAGUGGCAGCUGAGACAGGGCCAGGGGGCCUUCGUGGAUGGGGAGGUGCCUGUCACAUCCCCAGCAGACUCUCUGAGAGCUGGGCAUUGGCUCCUAUCUCCUGGCAGCCGAGGGCUCUCCACUCAGGCAGUUUACAGCACUGAGGGGCUUGGGUCUUGCUGAUAGAGUCCUUUUGUCUACCCCCCUUAUCCCCAGUCUUGCCUCUAGUCUACUCCCCCUGCCCCUUCUUACCUCUGGGACUCUGGGAUAGACAAGUGUAGCCCUUUCCAGAGACACUUUGAUGCCUUGAAUCCUAGUCAGCUGGAACAGGUUUUUGGAGUGCCUCAAUUUGGCGCAGCUUCUUUACAACCUCAGAGCAUGGCCCUGGUAGAGCCUGUUGGUGACUCAGCGGCUGGGGAACUCCAGCCAGCCCGGGAGGGCUCAGCAAUGCUCAUCCUGUCACCUUGCAAUCCCAGGAACUUGGAUGGUGGCCUCAGCCAGCCGGUGCGGGAGUGGGCCCUAGGGAAAAGGAAGUUUGACUCAGUACCCAGCCCCUGGUCCAGGUCUUUGAUAAGGCUUUCAUGCUUCAGAAGAGACAACUGCUUCCUCUUAGCAAAAACAGGUGUGGGGCCAUUCUGCGCAGGUGUGGAGCAAGCACAGGACCUUCCUCACCCGCUGGAUCCUGGUUUGCUGAUUGUUUGGUAAAGAUAUUUUGGCGCUGUACACUAUUUGCUCUGUAGAAGGGGGUCAUCUCAGACUGCCAGAUCGGUGGCAGCAUUGUUCUGUCAGGCUUUGCAGUAGGUGGGGAGUGGAGAAGGAAGGUGUGAGGUGUUGCCUAAUACCUGCUGACCUGUAGAAAAAAUGAGCCUGAACAGGGCAGGGCCCAUCUCCUUCUGAGAAGGAUAUCUGCACCUUUUCAUGUAGCUGUUUAUUUUUUGCAUGCUUUUCCAGAUGUCAGGAAGAGCACAAGUCAGCUCCUUUUGCAGCUGAGUUUCUUCUCUGAUGAUUCUGUGCAUGUAAUGUCAGUCCUGGGUAUUUAUAAGGGCUUCAACUCUAAAGAGUUUCUGGGUGGAGCAAACGGUUAAGUGCUCAACUACUAACUGAGAGGUUGGUGGUUUGGACCCACCCAUAGGUGCCUUGGAAGACAGGCCUGGCAGUCUGCUUCUGAAAGAUCACAGCCUUGAAAACCCUAUGGAGGAGUUCUACUCUGCACACAUGGGUCUCCAUGAGUCAGAAUCAACUCAACAGCAGCUAACAACAGCAACAACUCUAAAGAGCCCAAAGCAUUUUUCAAAUAUUCUUAUUUGUCCCUUGAAGUAGAUGGAGAUCAGUAACCAGGUCUCCUAAAUCAGAGAUGGUGGGGAAUGAGGGACGGGGGUACCCAUCUAUGUAGGUGGCUACAGCGAGGCCCUCACCCAGCCUAAGUGCUGAAGGGUGUUAGGGGGAGAAAGGAGAGAGCACUGCCUGCUGAGAUGGUCAAAAGAGGGUUGUGGAGAGUGUAGGAUUGUGCUAGGCCUGGAAGGCUGGGGAGAAAUAAGACCAAGGCAGUGAAGAGGGUUUUUCAGGCAGGAGAGAAUGACUUAGCGUAUUUAGGAGACCUUGACUAAACGGAUACAUUUGGGUGGAACAAAGGUCUUGAGUAGGGAGCAUCCGGAGAUGUUCUAGGAGUCCCUAGGUGGUGCAAAUGGUUAAUUUUCUUGGCUGCUAAUCGAAAGGUUGGAAGUUCAAGUCUACCCAGAGGUAUCUUGGAAGAAAGGCCUGAGAAUCUACUUCCAAAAAAAUCAGCCAUUGAAAACCCUAUGGAGCAUAGUUCUAUCCUGACACAUAUGGAGUCGCCAUGAGUUGGAAUCAACUUGAUGGCAACUGGACUGACAGAGAUACUGUUGUGCAUUUGCUUCAAUUGUGUGCCCUCAUCUAGAUUGUAAGUUGCUAAGGGUAGGUUCUGCCUUUCCUUGAAGAGCCCCUGAACACGCAGUGCUGGUUAAACACUCAUUAGUUGGCCAGCCUCUUGCCACAAAGCUGUUCAAUGAGCUUUAUGCCCCUUUUCACCCUCUCCGUCUUCUUCUCCUUGGAAAAUGGUCAGGCUACUUGAGGUCACUGAGUGCAGGCCAUUCUGAUUUCUCAUAAAGUUUUAGGAAAAGCUGCCGACAAAAUGAGUUAAGGGUGAGAAAGAACACCUUCCAGGGGCCAUCUCAUGGGGUGACCACACAACUCAGCAUCACCUCGGUAUGGCAGUUCAGCAGACUGAAUUCCAGGCCAAGGAUAAGGAUGGUAAGUCCUUCACUCCAGCAAUUUUUCUGUAUUAAAUGAGACGAUUUAACAUCAUUAUUUACAUAGAGGGCACAUUUUAACUCACCGCCCAACUGCGUAGUGGUGCAGCCAGGCAUUUACAAUGGCUUUCAAGAAUUAGAAGGAUUAUUACUCGUAUAAAUUGUAGCUUGUAGGUACUUGUUCAUCACUUUACCUCCAGUACGUAGCACAACAUCUCUCAUGUAGUAGCUGCUCAGUAAACAUUUGUUGAUCAAAUGAAUGCCAGGCAUCAAGUGUUCUCCAUUUCCACUGAUGUCAGAAGAAGAGCCAAGACUUAGAGCUGUAGCUGUGGAAUCUGGGAUAGACAUGGGGAAGGAAUUCCGGAGGCUCCGUCGGCUUUCUCAUUCCCCAGCUGCACAUUUUUGGUACUUACCCCCCCCCAUAGCUGUUUUCAAGCUGAUGACCCUCUUAGAGAAAUUAGGUUCAACGUGUUGUUGUUGUUGGGUGCCAUCGAGUCGAUUCUGACUCAUAGUGAUCCCAUGUGACAGAGUAGAACUGCCCCAUGUGGCUUUCUGGGCUGAAAUUUUUAUGGAAGCAGAUCACCAGGUCUUUCUCCCACAGAGCGGAGAGGUGAGUUCGAACCGCCAACCUUUCAGUUAGCAGUUGAACACUUAACUGUUUAUGCCACCAGGGCUCCUUCCAUUCAAUGUACAUUUCGUGAAAACUUAACCAGGUGCUGUGGCCUGGGUGUGAAGAUACAGAGAUGGAUGAGGCACAUGCAAGUUUCUGACAACACUAGAAGGGGAGACAGACAAGACAUGAAAAUUUCUGAAUUACAAGGUGGAAUAAAAUACGGACUGCUCUGAGGAAGAAAUGAAUAUUUCUGAUAUUCGAGCAAGGCUUGGAGAGGCAAACUUGAUUCCUUGGGAAGAGGAACAGGCAUGCCAGCUUGAGAGAUCAGCAUACUAAUCCUAAUAACAGCUGCCAUUUGUCACGUGCUUCUUAUGCUGCUCGAUGUAACUAGUUUCUAUCGAGUCAGUUCCAACCCAGGGUGACCCCUGUGUCAGAGCAGAACUGUGCUCCAUAGGGUUUUCAUUGGCUAAUUUUUCAGAAGUAGAUCGCCAGGCCUUUCUUUCAAGGUACCUCUGGGUAGACUCAAACCGCCAACCUUUUGGUCAGUAGCUGAGCACAGUAACUGUUGGCAUCACUUAGGCGCUCUUUUGUAUGUGUUACCUCAUGUAAUCUUUACCACAACCCUGUGUGGGAGAUGAACAUCUUUAUCACUUUUACAAACUCAGGCAACUAAGCAAAGGUCACACAGCCACAAGGGCCAGAGUCAGGACCCCAGCACCAGAGGGGCAUGAGUCCAAGGCACGACACCGGGUAAGGGUAAGUCAAGUGCAGGGGAUGUGGGGCAGGAGUGUGUGGGAGGAGUUUAGGUGGAAAUGGAGCUUGGGACCAGAUUAUAGACCUUAAAUGCUCUGCUAAGGACUUUGAGCUGGGCUUUGUGAGCCACUGGACAGUUUAGAGGAGGGGAGUGAUAUGGGAUAUGGUCUAGCACACGCUUCAGGAAGAUCACUCUCACAGUGAUAGCAAAGGUAAGAAGAAAGCUGUUGGCAGGAAAACCAGUUAGGCAACUAUUGUGAUAGCCCAGGGAGAGGUACUGAGGCCUGAACUGGGGCAGUGGCAGUAUGGAUGCGGGGUGGGGGUGGAUAAAUAGACUUUGUGGAGGCAGUGUGUGUGUAGGAGGGCUUGGCUUGGAUAUCGGUUAAGGGGAGGGAGGGGUUAACCAUGGCUGUUGGGUCUUCAGCCCUGCCCAGAACGAGGAGGAGGAACAGGUCAGGGGAAAAGAUGAGCUUACUUUUGAACGCGUGGUUUGAGGUACAGGCCAUAGAGAGGGGUCUGGGUUGGAGAUGGUGUUGGGAUGUGGAAGCUGGGGAAGUGUCUAUGAAAACGUGACAUCAGUGUGGUGCCUUCUGUGGGCUGUGGCAGCACUUCAGCGGCCCCUACUCACCUGCCUGGGCUGUAAUGCAGAAGAUUCUGUUUAUCUCUGAUAAUGUGGGUAUUGUUGCUAUACCAUCUGGCUUGGACAUCUUAAACGCAAUUAAUGUGUCGUAGAUUUUCUUUUUUUUUUUUUUUCCCCCUCAGUAGGUGAUCAGUAGGUAUUUGAUUAUUUGACAUAAGUCAAUAGCAAUUUUUUUAAACCCUCACAAGACUUAAUACUCCAAGAUCAGUGUCAUGGAACGUACGUGGCCUACAGCUGAGCAACCCUGGGGUCUCAGUUGAAUCUUCUUUGUUAUGUCCUUGUGGUGAGUCCCAGAGGGAGGGCAGGAAUCAGUAGUUAUGACCACCUUCUCCUCAUUCCCAAACUUCUUGGGAAUCGUGAAACAAGCCAAGGAGGAAGCAUGACCACAGCCAGAUUUAGAGGGACUUUAUGGGCUUUAUUUCGUUCAGUCCCUGAAAGAGUCCUGUGAGGAGGUGGUUCUCCUUAUUUUAUGGAUGGGAACACUGAGGCUCAGCGAGGUUAGAGGACUUAGCCAAGGUCUCACAGUUCAGGAGUAGCAGAGCCAGGAUUUGAACCCAGGCCUGACAGCAAAGCCCUUUUCUGCUCUGCCAUGACAGACCCCGAGUCAGAAUUAGAAAGCGAUAGCGGGUUGCAGUGCAGGCGUCCAUCUGCCAGGCUCCCCCGCCUCCCUGAGUUCAUUCUGUCUCCUUUUGCUUUUCUCAUCCUCAGAUAUAUUUAGUGUAGACAGAUGGAUAUGGAACAGUCCUGUGAGCGUUCAGAUAAUACUGGCUGAUUUUCCACGAUAUCAUCGUCAUGAGAUACGGCCAAGACUCAUCAAGUUGAACUUUGCCACCCCAGGGGUCAUCAGAGAGGGCAGCUGAGGGUCCAGAGCUAACUAACCAAAGUGCAUUCCUUCACUGGCUGCCAGCUUGGAAUAGAUUAUUAAGUUGAUACCACACUACAUUGAUUGGCAUUUUUCUCAUCUUCAGAUGGAAAGUGCUUUGGUGGAGGAUCACUCCUAUCUUCUAGUUGAUGUAAUACCAAAACCAAACCAAACAAGUAGCGAUCAAGUCAGUUCCAAAUCGUGGUGGCCCCAAGUGUGUCAGGGUAAAACUGUGUUCCGAAGGGUUGUCAAUGGCUGAUUUUUGGAAGCAGAUCACCGGGCCGUAAACGCCAUGCUAAAUAGAAGGUAGAAUCGCACAAAGUUGUCAUAAACUGUACACUCUCAUUCAGAUAUUGCACCUGCAGCUGCCUUUCUGCCUGAUCCCCAAGGCAGGGGACCCACUACAUGGGACUGGAAUAAGUCCAGUCAGUCCCCGGUCAGAUAGCUGAGAGAGAUGUAUAGCCCUGUGUCUUCUCAGAUGCCAGGAUUUUAGGAAUUUUACAGAUAUUCUGGCCCAGCUCUGUCAUUUUAAGAUAACCUGAGGUAGAGGUGUAACCGGACACCACUCGGGUUCUUGUCCUGUCUUACUAGCCAAUUGAAAUAAGACAGACACUAAUUGCAACGGAAACAGAAAGUGACAAGUUUAUUGUCUGCACAUACAAGGAGCGCGUGGGACCUAGUGACCAUAGACCACAUGCUCGCUGACAAGGGGGCUGGGGAGCUUUUUGUUUCCAGUGGCAUCGGGGGUUGGGUUCUGUACCCAGAAGUUUCUGCCCUUAGGCCUCCCAUGCCCACAUUUGGGGGUCUGGGGGGGUCAGUUGAGGUUGUGAGUUGUUCAAUCUGUGCACGCUUCAAGGUGUAACUCGGGCUAGUUCAGUGGAUGGAGCCACUACCUGCUGCGACUUCCUGAAAAAUGUUGCUCAAAACAAGCUCGUGGUUAGCGAGACAAAGAGAGGGGGGCAGAGGUGUUGAUUGGGGUUUUCAAUAUGGCUGAGCAGCCUGUUUCGGAGAAAGGUGAAGUGAUUUUCUAAAGAUGAUACCAAUCAUGGAUGACCCUCAUUUCUGGGCUCCCCUGGUGGCCUGCGUUCCCCAUACUCCAGCACAUACCUAGCUUAUACCCAGGUGAGAAAGGGAGGAGGGGUCUUUGCAGCAUGCCUGUGUUCUUUGUGUGCUUCACAGGGGGAAACCCAAGCGAAGUAGGGCCAGUUGGACCCUUCAUCCUGAGGCUACAUAAUGUCUGUCAGGAGUCCUUGAGUGGUACAAAUGGUUAAGUGCUUGGCUACUAACCAAAAGGUUGGAGGUUUGAAUCUACCCAGAGGCACCUUGGAAGAAAGGCCUGGUGAUGUGCUUCUGAAAGGUCACAGCUUUGAAAACCCUAUGGAGUGCAGUUCUACUCUGACACAUGUAAGGUUGCCGUGAGUCAAAAUCGACUCAAUAGCAGCAGCAAUGUCUGUCACUUACAAGCUGGGGAAACUUGGGCAAGUUAUUUAACCUCAGACCUCUGUUUUCUUACCUCUAAAAUGGGAACAUGAUAGUACCUACUAUGUAGGAGUUGCUUUGUAUAUUCAAUAAGAUGUUGUGUGCUGCUAUAAUUAUUAAUAACAAUAUCAGCCACAAUAAUCAUCCCAUCCUGAGUGAUGUGAGGAGGGAACUCAGGAGACCCAUCAGGCUCUGAUGGUCUUGUCUCCACUGUGCCCCCACUGACACAGCAAUGUCUUCCUGCUAACUCGUAUGAUAUCAUGGGCACGUAUGGGUGCAGGGACUAAGACCUCACUCGUGGAGGCUCAUGACUAAGAGUGGCCCAUUCCCUACAGAGUUGGUUUCUUUGUGCAUCAGACCUGCCACCUGAAACAGGAUACCAACUUUUACAAGUAAUUUCUCAGUGAUAAGACUGUCUCCUUGGGCAGCAGGGCCCCACCUGCUUUUUAAAGCAGCACUUCCGAUCCGGGUGGAAGAAGAAAGAGCUCUUGGUCCCUGAGCCUGUCUGUCCAAGGAGACCUGGGUUCCAUUCCCCGCCAGUGGACCUCAUGCGUCGCCACCACCCAUCUGUCAGUGAAGGCUUGUGUGUUGCUAUGAUGCUGAACAGGUUUCAGCAGAGCUUCCAGACCAAGAUGAACUGGGAAAAGAGGCCUGGUGAUCUACUUCAGAAAAUCAGCCAGUGAAAACCUUGAGGAUCGUAACAGUCUGAUCCCAAACCAAUCAUGGGGAUGGUUUGAGACUGGGCAGCAUUUGGUUCCAUUGUGCGUGGGAUCCCCAUGAGUUCGGGGCCGACUUGAUGGCAGCUAACAACACAACUGGUGAAUAUACAUCUACGGUGUUUCAUAAUGUGCUGUGGUCAAAGGACUGUCAUGUAGUGUGGUAAUGAAACACUGUCUUGGGCAGAGGAGUCAGAAAGACUUGAGUCUGAACUUGGCUCUGACACUUACUUGGCUACAGGAGCUUGGGCAAAUUUCUUAACCUAAUAAAAAAAAUUUUUUUUUAA